GGCCCGGUCGUCGGUUGAACGUCAGUAAGGUCCGAUAUUCAUUCCUUACUCAAAUAGGAAGGUGGCAGUCUCAAUCUAGCGGCGUGGUCCAGAACAAGCCUUUGCUGAUCCAUGGGGUUUUUGUUUUGGUUACAAGAAGUGCUUCUUUGCUCGCUUGCAGCGCCUCGACUCGAGUUUCCGCUGUAGGAUUGAGUGAGGUGACGAGAGCUGAAGCCAAGGUUCCUUGCUACGCUCCAUAGAUGUUCGUACGAUUCUUGUGGAUUUUGGGUGUGUUUGAAUUCAGCCUCUCGUUAGGUCUUCACUGAAGGAUUGUCCACCUUCUCAAGCCUCUCUACCAUACCCUUAGAAAGUGACAACGGAUGACUUCCAUUACUAAAUGGAAGAACUUUUCAAACUAGUUGAUAGUUGUUCCCUGGUUGCACCCCACAAUGGGUUCUAAUUUACUAAAUCACAUGUUUCUGUUUUCGGAACAUCACAUGUAGAGUUUUUUGGGGGAGAAUCACUCGG
rnacentral:lncRNA from 1 species